rnacentral:rRNA from 1 species
UACGUAGGGUGCGAGCGUUAAUCGGAAUUACUGGGCGUAAAGCGUGCGCAGGCGGUUCGACAAGUCCGAUGUGAAAGCCCCGGGCUCAACCUGGGAAUGGCAUUGGAAACUGGCGAGCUAGAGUGUGGCAGAGGGGGGUGGAAUUCCGCGUGUAGCAGUGAAAUGCGUAGAGGUGCGGAGGAACACCGAUGGCGAAGGCAGCCCCCUGGGCUGACACUGACGCUCAGGCACGAAAGCGUGGGGAGCAAACAGG